GGGGACGUAGCUCAGGGGUAGAGCGCCGCCUUGUCAGGGUGGAAGGCGACGGUUCGAGUCCGUUCGUCCCCG
rnacentral:tRNA from 1 species